GACGAACGCUGGCGGCGUGCUUAACACAUGCAAGUCGAACGGAAAGGCCCUGCUUGCAGGGUACUCGAGUGGCGAACGGGUGAGUAACACGUGGGUGAUCUGCCCUGCACUUCGGGAUAAGCCGGGGAAACUGGGGCUAAUACCGGAUAGGAGCCAUUUUUAGUGUGAUGGUUGGAAAGUUUUUUCGGUGUAGGAUGAGCUCGCGGCCUAUCAGCUUGUUGGUGGGGUAAUGGCCUACCAAGGCGGCGACGGGUAGCCGGCCUGAGAGGGUGGACGGCCACAUUGGGCCUGAGAUACGUCCCAGACUCCUACGGGAGGCAGCAGUGGGGAAUAUUGCACCAUGGGCGCGAGCCUGAUGCAGCGACGCCGCGUGGGGGAUGACGGCCUUCGGGUUGUAAACUCCUUUCGCUAGGGACGAAGCUUUUUGUGACGGUACCUAGAUAAGAAGCACCGGCUAACUACGUG
rnacentral:rRNA from 1 species